rnacentral:rRNA from 1 species
UACGAAGGGGGCUAGCGUUGCUCGGAAUCACUGGGCGUAAAGGGUGUGUAGGCGGGUCUUUAAGUCAGGGGUGAAAUCCUGGAGCUCAACUCCAGAACUGCCUUUGAUACUGAAGAUCUUGAGUUCGGGAGAGGUGAGUGGAACUGCGAGUGUAGAGGUGAAAUUCGUAGAUAUUCGCAAGAACACCAGUGGCGAAGGCGGCUCACUGGCCCGAUACUGACGCUGAGGCACGAAAGCGUGGGGAGCGAACAGG